CCUACGGGAGGCAGCAGUGAGGAAUAUUGGUCAAUGGGCGAGAGCCUGAACCAGCCAAGUCGCGUGAGGGAGUACUGCCCUAUGGGUUGUAAACCUCUUUUGUCGGGGAGCAAAAGCCGGACGUGUCCGGCUGUGAGAGUACCCGAAGAAAAAGCAUCGGCUAACUCCGUGCCAGCAGCCGCGGUAAUACGGAGGAUGCGAGCGUUAUCCGGUUUUAUUGGGUUAAAAGGGUGCGCAGGCGGAUUUUUAAGUCAGCGGUAAAAUCGUGGGGCUCAACCCCAUCCAGCCGUUGAAACUGGGGAUCUAGAGUGUGCGAGAGGUAUGCGGAAUGCGUGGUGUAGCGGUGAAAUGCAUAGAUAUCACGCAGAACCCCGAUUGCGAAGGCAGCAUACCGGUGCACAACUGACGCUCAGGCACGAAAGCGUGGGUAUCGAACAGGAUUAGAUACCCCAGUAGUC
rnacentral:rRNA from 1 species